UGCGUGUCGCGGCAUCUGCUACUCAAAAUCCUUUCUUUUUCGUGUAUCCAAAACCAGAUGAAAACGGAAAGAUACUCAAAAGGUGGCUUCUCUUUCCCUUCAAUCUCCAUUAUAAAUUCAUCAAUGGAGCCAUAACUCUCCAUACCCCCCUUCCAUCUUCUUCUCUAUUUCUAAUGGGAACCCACUCUUCCUCUUCCUCUUUCUCUGCCCUCCAAUCUUACCUACAAGCCUUGGCCCAAACCCCACGUCGCUUGGCUAGCCGUGCCCCCUCUGUUUCUUCCUCAUACGAAGAACUGAGUCGGGUCAAGGCCCGUUCCGGCUCCGACAUGCAACGGACCCUCCGUUGGUUUGAUUUGGUUGGGCUGGGAAUCGGAGGUAUGGUCGGAGCCGGUGUGUUUGUCACCACUGGCAGAGCUAGCCGACUCUACGCUGGCCCUGCCAUCGUUGUCUCUUACGCCAUUGCUGGCCUCUGCGCCCUCCUCUCCGCCUUCUGCUACACAGAAUUCGCCGUCCAUAUUCCCGUCGCCGGCGGUGCUUUCAGCUACCUCCGAAUCACCUUUGGGGAGUUCGCCGCGUUCUUGACGGGAGCCAACCUAAUAACCGAAUAUGUCAUGUCAAACGCCGCCGUUUCCAGGGGGUUGACCUCCUAUAUGGGCGCCGCAAUGGGUGUCUCCACCACGAAAUGGAGGUUCAUACUUCCAUUACUCCCAAAUGGGUUCAAUGAAAUCGACCUCGUAGCUCCGGCCAUCGUACUAAUCCUCACACUCAUCAUCUGUUACAGCACGAGAGAAAGCUCAGUCGUCAAUAUGAUACUCACCACGUUACACAUACUCUUCAUAGCUUUCGUAAUAUUAAUGGGGCUUUGGAAAGGAGAUUGGAACAAUUUCACACACCCAGGGAAUCCCCAGCAUCCGUCCGGUUUCUUCCCCUACGGUGCCUCCGGUGUCUUCAAUGGGGCAGCCAUGGUAUACUUGAGUUACAUAGGAUACGACGCCGUAUCAACCAUGGCCGAGGAAGUUCGUGAUCCCGUUAAAGAUAUCCCUAUCGGGGUUUCAGGCUCCGUCAUCAUCGUCACCAUUCUUUACUGCCUCAUGGCCGCUUCCAUGUCCAUGUUACUCCCUUACGACAUGAUCGAUGUGGAGGCGCCGUUUUCGGCGGCGUUCAGUGGGAGAUCGGAAUGGGUGGCGAGGGUAAUAGGGGUGGGGGCCAGCUUCGGGAUAUUGACGUCGCUGUUAGUGGCGAUGCUGGGACAGGCUCGGUACAUGUGCGUCAUCGGACGGUCCAACGUGGUCCCGGCCUGGUUCGCUAGGGUCCACCCCAAAACAUCGACCCCUGUGAACGCCUCCGCCUUUCUUGUUACAUGGCAGAUUCUUUUGAGAUGAAGAUUGAAAACGAUACACAAUAUGAGGUAAAGAUGCGAGUAAUGGUGGGGAAAUUUUAGUCCAAAACCAAAGGUCAUAAUGUGAAAUAUGUUUACCAUGUUGGUUCUGAAGUGGACUUAUGCCUUUUUUUCCAUCUCAAGGUCAGAAUAUUUUAUCAAGGAUAAACUCGAGGUUUGCUUCCGCUAUACAAAUUGGUGCAUUGUAGUUCUUAAGGAAUCCUCACUUGAGUAAAGGCUGACUUAGGCGAGUUUGGACGAACGGAUCACCUAAGAUCGCAUGGAUCGCGAGAUGAAAGAUCUAGCCUCGUGACAAAUGGUGUCUGAGCUAUUAGUUCGAAGACACCAUUGGGAUGUCGAAAGAAAAGUUCUAAUAAAGGUGGGUAAAAAAGUCUUUGAGGGAGAUCCUGUCAGCUGUUAAGGAACGCAUGGGUAAACUUGAGGAGCCCAUGGAGGACGCAAAAAAGUCAGACAAUACGCUUAGGGAAAGCAUUAAGGACUUGAGGGAGUAGUCCAGGGACUUUGUGAUCAUGUGUCUUACUUCCUAGAGCGAUAGCGCGUAAGAGUUGCUAGAUUCCCAAAGGAAGAAACUGACGGAAAGGAACGAUGCUCUCAAAGCCAUGGUGAAGGCUUUAAAGUAGGAAACAAUGGUCACGAUGAUGGAUUUGAGCACAAGAAUAGAUGAGCUCAAGGGAGCAGCCAUAGAAAAAGUAGUGGCAAGUACAGCACUGAGUAACGAAGAUGUCCCGAAAUCAAAAGAAUUUGUGGGCACAAAGUCUGCAUGUGUUGUGGAUAAUUUCUUGUGGAGGAUGAAAACUAAUUUCGUGCCAAAGGCAUCACGGAUGAUGCGGUUAAGGUAAACAUUGCUUCAAUGUUUCUUACUGAUAUUGCGCUUUUAUGGUGGCGAGGUAGGACUACAGAUAAAAGGUAAUGUGAGAUUGGGACGUGGCAAGGGUAAAAAGUGAGUUGAAGGGAUAAUUUUACCCAAAAUUUACUGAGAAAGAAGGUCAGGUAAAGUUGUAAAAGAUAACGCAACGAGGCACAGUGGGGGAGAGUAUGUUUGAGAGUCCAAAGAACUCAUGCUCUAAGUUUCAGAUGUGACCGGGAAAGAAGCAUUGCUUGCUUUUCAGAAUAAAUUGAAGCUGUGGGUCAGACAGGAGGUGGAACAAAGAGGUGUCCAAAAGCUGUCGGAAGUUAUGACGGUAGUAGAGUCCCCGGUCAAGCUUGGUCUAGGGAAAGACAAGCUUGGGUCUUUCAAGCUCGAGGAAAGGGGUGUCUAUGAAAAGGAUCACAAUGAAGAUGUUUUUGAUGGCAAUGGCAACGACGACAAUAGUGGUAAUGGGAAACCAUGAGUUAGGAAGAAAAAAUCCAAGAGGAAAACGGACAAGUUGAAAUGCUUUCUUUGUGAUGGUCUACACAUGUUGAAGAAAUGUCUAAAGAAAUUCGUGCUUAAAGAGAAGUCGGUAGGUAAGGCCUUGGUACUUAGUUCGAGCGCAAAAGGUGUCGAAGCCAAAGAGGCCAAAAGUGAGAAGAAGCCAGUGGAGUGCUUCUUGUGUCAUGGUUCGCAUAAGUUGCGAAAGUGUCCAAGGAAGUCUUUCAUCAAAGAAAACGUUAGAGCAGACAAGGAGCCUAAGAAGUUUGAUUUGAGUAAGGGAAAAGUCAAAGCCAAGAGGGCAAAGAGGAGCAAAAAUAAGCAAGUGGAGUGCUUCUUGUGUCAUGGUCUGCAUAAGUUGCGGAAGUGUUCAAGGAAGUCUAUCAUCGAAGGAAACGAUAGAGCAGACAAGGAGCCUAAGAAGUUUGGUUCGAGCAAGGGAAAAGUCGAAGCCAAUAGGGCAAAGAAGAGCAAAAAAUGAGUAAAGUGCUUCUUGUGCCUGGUCUAUAUGAGUUGCAAAAUUGUCUAAAGCAAGCCAUAGUCAAAGGAAAGACAACAUCUGAGCUUGGUGAGUCAUCGGAGGGGCUUCCACCCAAGGAAGAGGUGAGUUUGUCAUCAGACUUAAAGGAAAAGGUUACUACGAAGUUCGGACCAAUGAAGCUCAAAUUAAGUAAAACAUCGGAGUUGGCCGAGUCAUCGACAAGGCUUCUACUUAUGGGAGAGGUGGGUGGUGCAUCGAACUUCAAGGGAAAAGAAGUGAUGCAAGUGGGACAGUUGACUUGAGUAAAUUCAAAGGUACAUUUCAAACACUUUAAUAGUGUAUUGCAUUCUAACUUGUUGACUUGGCAAGAACGUAGGGGCCCUUUCGAAGUUCUUGAGCAAAGAGACCGAGCGACUGUGGGCAAAGCGAAGCCAAGUGUUGUGAAUCAAGAGGAUUCUGUUCGAGUUAAGUUAGAAUGUGAGCAAGAGAGUGACAUAACUUCUUGUUAUCGAGAUGUACAAACGAGUAGGAUGGUUCGAGUUAAGAAGUGACGUAAGUUGAUGCAAAAGUCUCGAAGGAAGAGAAAAGCCAAGGCAUCGAGACGAGAUCGAGACGAAUCAAGUUAGUGCUAUUCAGAAGUCGCAAUGAGGGCGUUGCGAGAAUGGGUGGGGGAGAAUGUUACAGGCUGCAGUUCAAAGCCUAUGACCAUCACACCAAAUGCAUCCAAUGGAGGUCUAUUGUUUAUAUGGAGAUCAUUUAGCUCGUAAGAACUGGCUCGAUUCAAGAAGCUGUUGGAGAAGUUUGUCAGAUUGAAGCUUGGUUGGCCCGAUAAUAAAUAUAUGACAACUUAGGCUAAUUUGGUAACUAAUCUUAGAAUAUUGAGGGAAUCAUAUCUUGUAAAGAUUAGAUUAGAUUUGAUAUGACAUAUCUUGUAAAUCCUUAAAAUCAAAGAAUAUGGUUAAUUUCGUCCGUCGAUGUAAACGUAUCUUGACCGUCGAUUUUGGGGGCUCAAUUAUAAAUAGAGAGCCUCCUAUCAUUUGUACUCACUCCACUCAUUGUUUCAUUAUUCUUUAUGAAUGAGAGCAUAUUGAGAGCAUUUACUCAUA